GGCGGAAUAGCUCAGUGGUAGAGUGCAUGCUUAGCAUGCAUGAGGUCCUGGGUUCAAUCCCCAGUACUUCCU
rnacentral:tRNA from 1 species